UCACCAUAUAUUACAACUAGAAUAUAAAAUAUAGCAACAUUAAACUACCACAAAAUCUAACCUAUUAGGUACAUGCCAAAUAUAAGUAACGUUGAAACUAAUAAAUAUUGUCGAGAUCGAGAUUGUGGAUUGGAUGUUGAGGUCGAUGCUUACAAAUGUUGCAUUAAAUGAAACCUGUGCAUGGGGAAAACAAUCCAUAUGUUGAGUAAAGCUUUCAAUGGUAUUUCAAUAAUUUAAGAAGAUAACCUUAGAGUUAACAAUCCUAAUCUAAGUAAAUAUGUAUAUCAAUAUACACAUGUCUACCAUAUAUUUAUAAUUUAAAGUUACCAAGUUUAACGUUCUCGAUAUGAACAUGAUAAGUAUACAAAACUAACACUUCUUCCCAAUUCAAUACAGUUUACAGGGACAAUUCAUUAUACCCAUAACAAUAAUAAUUUUAAACUAAUCAAUAUCUAAACAGGCAUUUAUCAGUCUCAUUUCCAAUUUACCACUUCUAAUACCUCCUAGUUCAUUCGUUUCAAAUAUUAUACAACCAUUUUUAGAUUUGAUACCAUCUACAAUUCAUGUCUCUUUAGCCAUUUUUAACUCGAAACAGAAACACAAUCAUUACCAAAUCGGGAAUCGGUCUCUACAUAACAUCCCUCGUGUAAUACCCCUCACUUGGCCUAGUUGCCAGAUCUAAGCUACGGAAUGCUACUAUAGUUAACAGAGAAAACACAAAAAAGUCAUAUCAAUCAAUUCAAUUUAUAUACCUAAUCGUUUCAUAAUUUCAUAUACAGUUGAAUUAACAAACAAAUCCAAGACCUAAUUGAGUUUACGAAUGUUAUUAAGUUGACUUGUACAUGAAGAAUGACUACUAUGAAAACAUUCCAAGAUUUAUGUAUAGGUAUCGAUACCCAAACCAAGUACCGGUACCAUUUCUAGCUUUGAAUUCUCAAAAAAUUUAAGUUAUAAGCAAAGGGUAUCGAUACAUAGUUCAAUGUACUUCUUUAUAGGUACUGAUGCAUUACCUUGGUAUUGAUAUCAAAUUGGCAUUCUGCCAUUUUUAAAAUAUUGUUUAUUUGGCAAAGUACCGAUACUAUAGCUAACUGUAUCGAUACUUCCUAGCCAAGGUUAAAAAAUACAACAUUUUUGUACCUUUUUAUGCACAAACCCAAAAUCUAACUUUCAUGGUACAUUAAGCACACUUAAUUCCUAUACAAAGACAUAUGAAACAUAAAAUACUACCACAUCUUAAUCACAUUCAAUCGUUUAUACCAACAUGUCUCAAAUGGCAACAAAGUAUAUAACAUUUACCUAUACAAAUUAUGCCAAUUAAACCAUGCCAAUUUCAACACUAAUUCAUUCAUCUUUCAACCACUCUUGCAACUAACUAAAUACAAGAUCAUCAAACCUUUGAACAUUAAAUAAGUACAUUGCCAAGCAAUCAAUCCAUCCAACUCAACCAUAGAUCUUCUCAAGCCAAUUCACAUUCAAAUAGACAACCUUGGAUACUAUUAACACAUAUCACCUCAUGGUAUUAACUAUUAAACAUAUACCAUUUACAAUUUACUACACAAGUUCACAUUCAAAUAAAAAUUCCCAAACCGACUAAACGUUACACAACAACAAAUAGCUCCUAAGUUCAUGCCACAUAUAACCGAGCUAAACAUAAUCAAAAGACUACCAAAUUUACCAUUCAAGUGAUACCUAUGCCAUUUAACAAGCUACCUUCACAUACACAUCUUCAUAUAUCUUUACCGUUUCAAAAGUAAGCAUUCAUCAAGGUUUAAAUCAAAACUAUCAUCCAAAAUAAAUAUAUAUAUAUAUAUAUAUUUAGCCCUAUAUACAUACUAUAUCUAAUCUUGCAACAUUCUCAACCAUUCUCAUUUGUAUAAAUCAAACACAAUAAGGCACAAAUUAUUUAUGUCAUAUUUCCAUUACAAACUUAUAUAUAUUUCCAUACAAUUUAUAAUUUACGAAUUAGCCAUUUAUCAACCAAUAUCAUCAAAAUUAUAAUUAAUCUAACUAGUAAAUAUUACAUAAAAUCAAACAUAUCAUAAAAUGGACACACUAAGUUUCAUAUGAAUUUACCUUACAAGAACGACAACAGUCAAUGUGGCAGGGACUAUUCUGCAAUUUUUCCUAUUUCUUAAAUAUCUUCCGGUUGAUGUAAAUAUCAGUCUAUAUUAUAAUUCAAAUCAAUUUAUUAAUCUAUAAUAUCUUAUGGCAUCUAAUUGUAUGCAUAUGACAUUUUACUUUUAAUUUAAAAAAGUUCCCUAAAUUUUUGUAUUUUAUUCAAUUUAGUCCCUAAAACCGAAAUUGUCAUAACUUUCAAAUUUGAGCCUUGAUUUCGAAACCGAUCUCAAUUUCAUCCUUCCACAACCUUCUAUUAUCAAUAUUAACAUAAAUUUUAUGCUAAUUUUGAAAUAUUCUCAUUUUAAUCCCUACUAUCAAAACUAACAAAUUCCACUAUACAAAUCCAUCGUUAAUCACAUCUAAGCUUACAAUCAAACCAUUUAACAUCAAAAGCUACAAAAAUCAUCAAUGAUAAAAUUUAAAAAAAUUAAUAUUUUUAUGAAAUAAUACUCAAGUUAGCUAAAUCGAGUUAACAAUCUCAAAAACCAUAAAAUUUAUAAAAAAAAAAAAAAGAGCUUGGUUUAACUUACCAUGCAAGGACUGAAAAUUGAAGUCUUCAAAAAUGGCUUCCCAAGUUUUCUUU
rnacentral:lncRNA from 1 species